CGUACUUACGUGUAAGUAUUUGACGGUAGUACAGGAAUAAGCAUCGGCUAACUCCGUGCCAGCAGCCGCGGUAAUACGGAGGAUGCAAGCGUUAUCCGGAUUCAUUAGGUUUAAAGGGUGCGCAGGCGGAAUAAUAAGUCAGUGGUGAAAUCUUGCCGCUUAACGGUGAAACUGCCAUUGAAACUGUUAUUCUUGAGUGUAGUUGAGGUAGGCGGAAUGUGUAGUGUAGCGGUGAAAUGCUUAGAUAUUACACAGAACACCUAUUGCGAAGGCAGCUUACUAAACUACUACUGACGUUGAGGCACGAAAGCGUGGGGAGCGAACAGGAUUAGAUACCCUGGUAGUCCACGCUGUAAACUAUGAUCACUCGUUGUUCGUGAUACAUUGUGAGCGACCAAGCGAAAGCAUUAAGUGAUCCACCUGGGGAUUACGUCGGCAACGAUGAAACUCAAAGGAAUUGACGGGGGCCCGCACAAGCGGAGGAACAUGUGGUUUAAUUCGAUGAUACGCGAGGAACCUUACCUGGGCUUAAAUGCAGAACGAUAUAUCGGGAAACUGGUAUUCCCUUCGGGGCGGACUGCAAGGUGCUGCAUGGUUGUCGUCAGCUCGUGCCGUGAGGUGUCGGGUUAAGUCCCAUAACGAGCGCAACCCUUAUUGUUAGUUGCCAGCGGGUAAUGCCGGGGACUCUAACGGAACUGCCAUCGUAAGGUGGAGGAAGGUGGGGAUGACGUCAAAUCAGCACGGCCCUUAUGUCCAGGGCUACACACGUGUUACAAUGGCCAGUACAAAGGGCAGCUACCUGGAGACAGGAUGCUAAUCUCGAAAACUGGUCUCAGUUCGGAUCGUAGUCUGCAAUUCGACUACGUGAAGUUGGAUUCGCUAGUAAUCGCGCAUCACCCAUGGCGCGCUGAUACGUUCCCGGGCAUUGACACACCGCCCGUCAAGCCAUGGAAGCCGGGAGU
rnacentral:rRNA from 1 species